CAGGAUGAACGACUAGCUACAGGCUUAACACAUGCAAGUCGAGGGGCAGCAUUGGGAUAGCUUGCUAUUCAGAUGGCGACCGGCGCACGGGUGAGUAACGCGUAUCCAACCUUCCUGCCAGUAGGGAACAGCCCGGCGAAAGUCGGAUUAAUGCCCUAUGUUCUUCAAUGCGGACAUCUAAGUUGAAGGAAAGAUUCAUCGCUGGCAGAUGGGGAUGCGUCCGAUUAGCUUGCCGGCGGGGUAACGGCCCACCGGGGCGACGAUCGGUAGGGGUUCUGAGAGGAAGGUCCCCCACACUGGUACUGAGACACGGACCAGACUCCUACGGGAGGCAGCAGUGAGGAAUAUUGGUCAAUGGGCGUAAGCCUGAACCAGCCAAGUAGCGUGCAGGAAUGACGGCCCUACGGGUUGUAAACUGCUUUUAUGCGGGGAUAAAGUGCGGCACGUGUGCCGCUUUGCAGGUACCGCAUGAAUAAGGACCGGCUAAUUCCGUGCCAGCCGCAGC
rnacentral:rRNA from 1 species